CGUCGGGUGUGGACCCUAUUUAAAAAAAAAAAAAAUGGAAUUUACACUGACUGAACCGAAAAGAAUAAAAAAGACGUUUAAGGUUUUAACCCGCUUCGGCCACCUCCCCAGUCCCCACGUGUUUGAUGCAAAAAAAAAAAAAAAAAAAAAGACGAGAAUGAACAUCGUCGCUGCGCCCCAGCCUUGCGGGGGCCGUCGUCCCGACGUGGGCGGCGGGUGUUUGCCCGGGCCGAGGUCCCACCCCGCCCCGGGGCCUCCCUGCGCUGCCUUUGUGUUGGCGGGUCAGGCACCCCCGCGGCUUCGCCGGGCGGGUGGUCGGCGCGGUCCCGGCCUCAGCGGAGACAGACCCCGCCCUGUCAGCUCACCCCGAGGUCUGGGCCUUCUGGAGGCUGCUAGCUAUUCACACAGCAGGGCUGAUGAAAGUGUCGGUCUGCCAGAGCCACGUUGGUUCCUGAUCACAAAUGACACAAUCGCAUUGUGCUGGGCCCUUCUCUGGACUCUCUCAACCUUGUUCCAACGGAGGACAUCUAAGCCUGGGAAUUUCAAAUAUGUGGCAGAUACUGAUGGGAGAGAGGAGCUGCCUUAGUCAAACUCUUUUGAGAAAUGUCAAAUGACAACAAAAGGCAAGACUACUUUUUCUUUGCGUGACAAUUCUUCCAACAGUGAAAUGUUGAAUAGCAGGUUAUGACCAGUCUUGGGAGCAGAGGUGGAGCUGAAGUAGAAAUCAGCUGAUCAGAUGUGAGGGUCCCAGGAGGCCUGUCCAGGACAGGAACUAAGCAUAUUUGGCCACAAACAACACAGUGACUCCCAGUGUGAAGCACGGAGCUACAGCAGCCAUCUUAGGACCGUGUGGGGAGCUGGCCUAGAAGGACAAACCAGUACUCUGAAGGUAAGGUGGCAAGAACCUGAGCCCUUAGUGACUCAAUUUUGCUGGUCAAUUAACUAACUGGAAUCAUCUGACCUCCAGAAUUCUUGCUAUACGAGAUGAUUCCUUUCACAGUUGUGUACGCCGUUUUGAGUUGGGCUUUCAGUGAUUUGCAUCAGGAGGCUUCUCGAGGGACAGCCCACACUCUCGCACUGCGACACACACCUGGGGCAGCAGAUCAAACCCAAACAAGAGGAGCAGGGACUAAAUUCACAACCAGUUGGCCGCUCCCCUGGAUCUUGUAGAAAAACUGUGGUUGGCCUCUCCCCAACUUCCAGAGGACAAGGGUCCAGGGGCAAUGGGAUGUGGUCUGGCACUUAGGAACUGAAGAAGAGUAUCUGCUUUACACCGAGAGUUCAGCUUUUGACGUCAUUCGUGUAGUUACUCAUUACAAGUGUGUAGACACUAGGUAGGAUGUAAGGACAAACAGCGCUGUAGAACAAACAGGGUGCAUCUUCUGGGGCCCCUCCCUUCCACGCUCACCAAUCCCCUUGUUGGUGCCAACCCCACCCCUCUCCACAGGUACCGGUCCCUCUUGCAGACUCUUUGACAGGAGGUAGAAUUCUGUACCAUCUGAGAGUUUGUGUGUGGGCCGGAUCAGGCCCAGCGUGGACCUUGCACACUAAAAAAUCAGAGUGAGCUCUUAAACAGCACCCUUCUGCUUUGGGGUGGACUCUAUUCCCUAGCCUAUUCCACACCCACUCGGAACCUAAAGAAGGGCUGGAGUCAGACUGUCCUACAGAAAUCCAUUGAUUCAUUCAAAGAGGAGCUCACCAUGCCCUAUUUAAACCUCUGUGGUUUUUUAGAAGUUUUUAUUUAAAUACCAGUUAGUAAACCUACAGUGUAAUAUUAGUUUCAGACGUACAAUAUAGUGAUUCAACACUUCUAUACAUUACUCAGUGCUCGUCACAACAAGUGCACUCCUUAAUCCCGCCACCUAUUUCACCCAUCCCCCCAUCCACUUCCCUUCUGGUAACCAUCAGUUUAUAUUUAAGAGUUUGUUUCUCUACAGUUAGGAGUUUGUUUCUUGGUUUGCCUCUCUCUCUGUCCCUCUUUCUCUUUUUUUACCCCUUAUUCAUUUUAAACCUCUAUGAUGUUGCACAUUCUAUUUACUCUCCUUGCUCACCUGCCGAGCUCAUACUCACUCUUCAAGGCCAGCUGAAAUAUCAUCUCCUCCAUGAAGCCACCAUAAUUCCCAGUCUCUCUUCACACCAUUAUCCCUCCUUGACAAAAGAGAUCACCUCUUUCUCCACACUCCCAGCAUGCUUUGGACACAUCUUUGUUCACUUGGUAUUGAAAAUCAUUUGCUUGUGUGUGUGCAUUUCUCUCUCACACAUUGCUACUCUAAUAUGAGUAUACAUAUGACUGAGAAAACUGUAAUUUCAAAAAGAUUAAAAUAAGCCCUUUAUGAGGACAUAUAACAAACUCCUACAAUCAACAAUAAAAAUAACAAAUACCCAAUUAAAAAUGUGCAAAGGACCUAAAUCAACAUUUCUCCAAAGGAGAUAUAAAAAUGGCCAAUUGCACAUGAAAAGAUGCUCAAUUAUCAUUAGUCAUCAGCAAAACCACAAUGAAAUGCCACUUCAUACUCACUUGGAUGGAAAAAAACUGAUAAUAACAAGUGUUGGUGAAGAUGUGGAGGAACUGGAACCCUCACAAACAGCUGGUGGGAAUGUAAAACAGGGUAGCCACUUGGAAAACAGUCUGGCAUUCCUCCAAAAGUUAAACAUAGAGUUACCACAUGAAUCAGCAAUUCCACUCCUAGAUACAUACCUACUAGAAAGGCAAACAUGUCUACACAAAAACCUGUACAUGAAUCUUCAUAGCAUCAUUACUCAUAAGAGCCAAAAAGUAGAAACAGCCCAAAUGUCCAUCAACUAAUGAAUGGAUCAACAAAAUGUAGUAUAUCCAUAUGAUGGAAUAUUUGGCAAUAAAAAGGAAUGAAGUAUUGAUUCAUGCCACAGCAUGGAUGAACCUUGAAAACAUUAUGCUUGGGACUCUUGGGUGGCUCAGUCAGCUGAGAAUCCAACUCUUGAUCUCAGCUCAGGUCAUGAUCUCAUGGUUCAUGGGUUUCAGCCCUGCAUCAGGUUCUGUGUUGGCAGUGCAGAGCCUGCUUGGGAUUCUGUCUCUCCCUCUC